rnacentral:rRNA from 1 species
AACGAACGCUGGCGGCAGGCCUAACACAUGCAAGUCGAGCGAGGACUUCGGUUCUAGCGGCGGACGGGUGAGUAACGCGUGGGAAUGUGCCCUUCUCUACGGAAUAGCCCUGGGAAACUGGGAGUAAUACCGUAUACGCCCUUUUUGGGAAAUAUUUAUCGGAGAAGGAUCAGCCCGCGUUGGAUUAGGUAGUUGGUGGGGUAAUGGCCUACCAAGCCGCCGAUCCAUAGCUGGUUUGAGAGGAUGAUCAGCCACACUGGGACUGAGACACGGCCCAGACUCCUAAGGGAGGAAGCAGGGGGGAAUGUUAGACAAUGGGGGCAACCAUGAACGAGCCAUGCCGCGUGAGUGAAGAAGGCCUUAGGGUUGUAAAGCUCUUUCAGCUGGGAAGAUAAUGACGGUACCAGCAGAAGAAGCCCCGGCUAACUCCGUG